CGCAUUAGCUAGUUGGUGAGGUAACGGCUCACCAAGGCGACGAUGCGUAGCCGACCUGAGAGGGUGAUCGGCCACACUGGGACUGAGACACGGCCCAGACUCCUACGGGAGGCAGCAGUAGGGAAUCUUCGGCAAUGGGCGAAAGCCUGACCGAGCAACGCCGCGUGAGCGAUGAAGGCCUUCGGGUCGUAAAGCUCUGUUGUUAGAGAAGAACAAGUACGAGAGUAACUGCUCGUACCUUGACGGUACCUAACCAGAAAGCCACGGCUAACUACGUGCCAGCAGCCGCGGUAAUACGUAGGUGGCAAGCGUUAUCCGGAAUUAUUGGGCGUAAAGCGCGCGCAGGCGGUCUCUUAAGUCUGAUGUGAAAGCCCACGGCUCAACCGUGGAGGGUCAUUGGAAACUGGGAGACUUGAGUGCAGGAGAGAAAAGUGGAAUUCCACGUGUAGCGGUGAAAUGCGUAGAGAUGUGGAGGAACACCAGUGGCGAAGGCGGCUUUUUGGCCUGUAACUGACGCUGAGGCGCGAAAGCGUGGGGAGCAAACAGGAUUAGAUACCCUGGUAGUCCACGCCGUAAACGAUGAGUGCUAGGUGUUGGGGGGUUCCACCCUCAGUGCUGAAGUUAACACAUUAAGCACUCCGCCUGGGGAGUACGACCGCAAGGUUGAAACUCAAAGGAAUUGACGGGGGCCCGCACAAGCAGUGGAGCAUGUGGUUUAAUUCGAAGCAACGCGAAGAACCUUACCAGGUCUUGACAUCCUCUGACCACUCUAGAGAUAGAGCUUUCCCCUUCGGGGGACAGA
rnacentral:rRNA from 1 species